rnacentral:rRNA from 1 species
UUAGAGGAAGGAGAAGUCGUAACAAGGUUCCGUAGGGUGAACCUGCGGAAGGAUCAUUGUCGAACCUGCUUCAUGCAAAAAUUCGCGACCAUUCUCGUCCCGCUCCUAACAACCAAAGGCGCGGGAUGCGCCAAGGAAAAUGGAAACGAAUCUGACUCCUGCCUCGGUGCAUUGCAUCGUGUCGGCGAGUGUAUUCGAUAAGUCAUAACGACUCUCGGCAACGGAUAUCUCGGCUCUCGCAUCGAUGAAGAACGUAGCAAAAUGCGAUACGUGGUGUGAAUUGCAGGAUCCCGUGAACCAUCGAGUUUUUGAACGCAAGUUGCGCCCGAAGCCUUUAGGCCGAGGGCACGUCUGCCUGGGCGUCACGCACCGUUGCCCCCCAAACCCCCUCAGUCCUCCACGGAGGACUGGCGAGGCGCGUGGGGGGCGUAAAGUGGCUUCCCGUCGGCUUUGUCCCGCGGUUGGCCUAAAAAUGAAUCCCUAGCCGCGGUGCGCGCGGCAUUCGGUGGUCAUCGAUCCCUUUCGUUACCCCGCCGCGCGCUCACGUGCCGCGAAGGAUGUCACACUAGUAAACCCGACGCCUCGCUUUGUGAAGAGCGGAGCUUACAACGCGACCCCAGGUCAGGCGGGGCUACCCGCUGAA